rnacentral:lncRNA from 1 species
AUCAGCCAUGUUCUGCUGUGCAAGGUGCUGUGAGGCAUGUUCCUCCUGGACUGCUGUAGGAUUGCUGAAGAUAAUUCUGUAACCCAUCCACCAGAUCAGUUUAAAAAGAAAAUGCAUUUACUGUGCACUGGAGAAGAUGGAUGAAGAAGAGAUCUGAAAAAAGCCAGAAGACAACUAAGUCUGGCAGGAGACAGAGCUCCAGCCUCUGCUAACUACAGAUCUGAAGACAGGCAUGAGAGCAGAUAAGAGGCGUUGACAGAGCGCAUGGGCCUGUGGCACACUGCCCGUCAGGUUGUCUUGGCUAUUUUGCUGGACCAUCCCUGCAAGGCUGCUCUGCCCUGCUCCUCUCUGCCUCCAGCAGUGCUAUUAAGGGAAGGAGGGAGCUCUGAAUUCCUGCAGUCUCUGGGAGCGGAGCAAAGCGAAGCCGAACUCCCCUCUUCAUGUCGCUGCGGGACUCCCGGUAAAUAUCCGUCCGUCCGCUGCGGGUGAUGCGAAGGACGCUCGCGAAAGGCGCCGUUCCGCUCCGUAACACAUAGCACCCACUCGCGGGCGGGCACGCGCGCACCGGGAGGAGGACGAAAAGGAAACGCCGACUUUUCGACCCCCGCCUUCCGAAAGGAGAAGCCUU